rnacentral:rRNA from 1 species
UGUGUAGGCGGUUCUUUAAGUUUGGUGUGAAAUCUCCCGGCUCAACCGGGAGGUGCGCCGAAUACUGAGGGACUAGAGUACGGGAGAGGAAAGUGGAAUUCCUGGUGUAGCGGUGAAAUGCGUAGAUAUCAGGAGGAACACCGGUGGUGUAGACGGCUUUCUGGACCGUAACUGACGCUGAGACACGAAAGCGUGGGUAGCAAACA